CUCCAUUGUGCACAUUCCGAACGAUGGGUUGUGGAAAUUCUUCUGUAGCCAGCACAGCUGGAGGUCAACCCGAAGCUGCCAAAGGCGACGUCAACAUCUUUCCAUCGGAAAUGAUGAUCGAGGUAUGCAGAGGAGGUGGAAGAACGUACUAGAAACCACUUGUGUGACUCAGUCG